rnacentral:rRNA from 1 species
UACGUAGGGGGCAAGCGUUGUCCGGAAUCAUUGGGCGUAAAGAGCGUGUAGGCGGCCCGAUAAGUCCGCUGUGAAAGUCCAGGGCUCAACCCUGGGAUGCCGGUGGAUACUGUCGGGCUCGAGUCCGGAAGAGGAGUGUGGAAUUCCUGGUGUAGCGGUGAAAUGCGCAGAUAUCGGGAGGAACACCAAUGGCGAAGGCAGCACUCUGGGACGUGACUGACGCUGAGACGCGAAAGCGUGGGGAGCAAACAGG